AGUGAACGCUGGCGGUAGGCCUAACACAUGCAAGUCGAGCGGCAGCACAGUAAGAGCUUGCUCUUACGGGUGGCGAGUGGCGGACGGGUGAGGAAUACAUCGGAAUCUACUUUUUCGUGGGGGAUAACGUAGGGAAACUUACGCUAAUACCGCAUACGACCUACGGGUGAAAGCAGGGGAUCUUCGGACCUUGCGCGAUUGAAUGAGCCGAUGUCGGAUUAGCUAGUUUGCGGGGUAAAGGCCCACCAAGGCGACGAUCCGUAGCUGGUCUGAGAGGAUGAUCAGCCACACUGGAACUGAGACACGGUCCAGACUCCUACGGGAGGCAGCAGUGGGGAAUAUUGGACAAUGGGCGCAAGCCUGAUCCAGCCAUACCGCGUGGGUGAAGAAGGCCUUCGGGUUGUAAAGCCCUUUUGUUGGGAAAGAAAGGCAGCAGGUUAAUACCCCGCUGUUCUGACGGUACCCAAAGAAUAAGCACCGGCUAACUUCGUG
rnacentral:rRNA from 1 species